GGGGAAAAAGGGUGAAAAAUAAAAGUUUAGGGGAGAAAGAAAAAGUUUUGACGGUUGGGGGAGUAAAAUUUUAGGGGGAAAGUAAAUGGGGGAAAAUGGGUUUGGGGUAGAUGAGGCUGGGAUAGGAGGGGAAUAAAAGUUAUAGGGGAAGUGAGAGGGAGUAAAAGUUUUAAGGGAAAGUAAGAGGGAGUAAAAGUAUUGGGGGCAAGUAAAAAGGUUUGGGGAAAAAUAUAAAAUAUUAUAGUUUGGUAUUUGAUUUAUUCGAAUUAUUUGAGUUAUUCGAAUUUUAACAUUGAACUCGAUUCAAACUCGAAAUUUGAAAAAAAUCGAAUUGACUCGAAUAACUCAAUUUGUUUAACUAAAAAUUCAAUUUUUUUUUAUUUUUUUAGUCUAAUCGAUUUUUGC
rnacentral:lncRNA from 1 species